rnacentral:lncRNA from 1 species
CAUCACCUCGGGGUGGGGGGAGAUGCCUUAUUUUAGGGGUUUAGGAAGAUCUUGGAGCAGCAUCAGCCUGGGUGGAAAUGCUAGGAGGAGAACAUGGCUCAGUUUGGCUGGGGAGGGCAGGGAGGUUGUGCUGGGGGUGCUGCAUGCCGUGUUAGGGUGCCACAAGCUGUGGCUCCUGGUUCUUGUCUCGGCAGCAGUGGAGACACUGGCAUCUUCCUGCAGCCCCGAGAAGAACACUGCCCGGAGCCUGCAGCUCUUCCUGCCAGACCCCAGACCCAGGAAGAACAGGAGUGCUGGCUCAGUUUUGCCAACCAAGAGGAAGAUCCCGGGCGAGUCUCUUAUUAACCCUGGCUUCAAAAGCAAGAAGGCACCAUCUGGAGUGGAUUUUGAAGAUUCCUGACCUGGCUGUCCCAUCCCCUGAUGCCCAGAGCCUUGUCAACCACGUGUGUGGCUGGUGGAGGUUUUGCUGCACCCUGGGCCUGCCAAGCCCCUUGCGCCUGGAGAGGUGGACGGGGCAAGCAUGACCCAGAGGGCUGGCCUCAGCUGGUGUGGCAAGGCCAUUGUGGGGGACAGAUAGGGCAGGGGUAACAGGAGUGGUGGCUUUUCUCCCUGCAGCUCUUCCCUGCUGGCAGGGGCCACCUCUCUACCUCACUUGCCUUGAAUUGGUGGGGUUUUUAAAGAGCUUUUAUAUCAUGAUGUAACAAAAAGAUUGCCUGUGCUUAACUUACUGCCAGUAAAGGUGGUUUUAGCCAGCUGGUCUCUAGGAACCGGGAC